rnacentral:ncRNA from 1 species
UGAUGUGUUCGUAGUGUGGCGAGCAGGGUAAAUUAAAGAAGCGCACGACAAGA